UACGGCAACAUCGCGUUGAAACACCGGUUCACGUACGAUCACCGAAGUUAAGCAACGUCGAGCAGUACCAAGAUGGGUGACAGCUUGAGAAUACCAGGUGCUC